CGGCUCAGUAACACGUGGACAACCUACCCUUAGGUCGGGGAUAAACCCGGGAAACUGGGUAUAAUACCCGAUAGAUCUCGACUGCUGGAAUGCAUCGAGAUCCAAAGCUCCGGCGCCUAAGGAUGGGUCUGCGGCCUAUCAGGUAGUAGUGGGUGUAGCGUACCUACUGGCCUACGACGGGUACGGGUUGUGAGAGCAAGAGCCCGGAGAUGGAUUCUGAGACACGAAUCCAGGCCCUACGGGGUGCAGCAGGCGCGAAAACUUUACAAUGCUGGAAACAGCGAUAAGGGGACCUCGAGUGCCAGGUUACAAAUCUGGCUGUCGUGAUGCCUAAAAAGCAUUGCAUAGCAAGGGCCGGGCAAGACCGGUGCCAGCCGCCGCGGUAACACCGGCGGCUCGAGUGGUAACCGUUAUUAUUGGGUCUAAAGGGUCUGUAGCCGGCCGGAGAAGUCUCUUGGGAAAUCCAGCAGCUCAACUGUUGGGCUUUCAGGAGAUACUGUCUGGCUCGAGGCCGGGAGAGGUGAGAGGUACUUCAGGGGUAGGGGUGAAAUCUUGUAAUCCUUGAAGGACCACCAGUGGCGAAGGCGUCUCACCAGAACGGACCUGACGGCAAGGGACGAAAGCUAGGGGCACGAACCGGAUUAGAUACCCGGGUAGUCCUAGCCGU
rnacentral:rRNA from 1 species